AAGGCUGAAGAAAAACAGGCAAGUGGAAAUUCUGAUAGAUUUUUGAGUGAAUAGAAACAAUGGAUAUCAAGCAGUAGCCUAAAGAAAUGCCUUUCUAUGGUCUGUUGGCCAUUUCAGAAAUCUGUAAAUCUAAUGGUCAAUUCAUUAGAAAGAAACAUCU